UCCUGGCUGUAAACGAUGGAUGCUAGAUGUGGAUAGGUAAAUCCUAUCCGUGUCGUAAGCUAACGCGUUAAGCAUCCCGCCUGGGGAGUACGGGCGCAAGCCUGAAACUCAAAGGAAUUGACGGGGACCCGCACAACCGGUGGAGCGUCUGGUUUAAUUCGAUGCUAACCGAAAACCUACAGGGCUUGACAUGCGUGUGUCGUGCUGAAAGUCACUAGUGUCCCAUU
rnacentral:rRNA from 1 species